CGGCAGCACGGGAGCAAUCCUGGUGGCGAGUGGCGAACGGGUGAGUAAUGUAUCGGAACGUACCUUUCAGUGGGGGAUGACGUAGCGAAAGUUACGCUAAUACCGCAUAUUCUGUGAGCAGGAAAGCAGGGGAUCGCAAGACCUUGCGCUGAUUGAGCGGCCGAUAUCAGAUUAGCUAGUUGGUGAGGUAAAGGCUCACCAAGGCGACGAUCUGUAGCGGGUCUGAGAGGAUGAUCCGCCACACUGGAACUGAGACACGGUCCAGACUCCUACGGGAGGCAGCAGUGGGGAAUUUUGGACAAUGGGGGCAACCCUGAUCCAGCCAUGCCGCGUGAGUGAAGAAGGCCUUCGGGUUGUAAAGCUCUUUCAGCCGGGAAGAAAACGCAUGGGUUAAUACCCUGUGUGGAUGACGGUACCGGAAUAAGAAGCACCGGCUAACUACGUGCCAGCAGCCGCGGUAAUACGUAGGGUGCGAGCGUUAAUCGGAAUUACUGGGCGUAAAGCGUGCGCAGGCGGUUUGUUAAGAUAGGCGUGAAAUCCCCGGGCUCAAC
rnacentral:rRNA from 1 species